rnacentral:rRNA from 1 species
AGCGGCGGACGGGUGAGUAAUACUUAGGAAUCUGCCUAUUAAUGGGGGACAACAUCUCGAAAGGGAUGCUAAUACCGCAUACGCCCUACGGGGGAAAGCAGGGGAUCACUUGUGACCUUGCGUUAAUAGAUGAGCCUAAGUCGGAUUAGCUAGUUGGUGGGGUAAAGGCCUACCAAGGCGACGAUCUGUAGCGGGUCUGAGAGGAUGAUCCGCCACACUGGGACUGAGACACGGCCCAGACUCCUACGGGAGGCAGCAGUGGGGAAUAUUGGACAAUGGGGGGAACCCUGAUCCAGCCAUGCCGCGUGUGUGAAGAAGGCCUUAUGGUUGUAAAGCACUUUAAGCGAGGAGGAGGCUCUUCUAGUUAAUACCUAGGAUGAGUGGACGUUACUCGCAGAAUAAGCACCGGCUAACUCUGUGCCAGCAGCCGCGGUAAUACAGAGGGUGCGAGCGUUAAUCGGAUUUACUGGGCGUAAAGCGUGCGUAGGCGGCUUUUUAAGUCGGAUGUGAAAUCCCCGAGCUUAACUUGGGAAUUGCAUUCGAUACUGGGAAGCUAGAGUAUGGGA